UUAAAUUCGAAGAAAUCGACACGGCCAUCGUGAUUACGAUCAACAGAGCAGAUCAUCUGUUGAACUCUGUCGAUCUCCUUAGCUUCGGGCAUUCCAAGUUUAUUCAACACUACUUGAAGUUCAUGUGCAGAAAUGUAGCCAUCGCCGUCUUCAUCAAACACCUUGAAAGCCUCCGACAGAUCAGAUUCUUCCUGCGUCAUUGCAUCCUGUACAUCCUCCGUAUUCUCCUCGUCGUAGGUAAAGAAGGUUUCAUCCAGCGAUUGGUGAAGUGAUACAAAAUCUUCAAACAAAAGGCCAUCAUUGCCAGGCCUAAUGUGAGAUCUGAUGGUAGAUUCAAGUUCGGAGAAGUCAGCAUCGAGGCCAAGAAGGCUGAGCGCUUGGCUAAGGUCCUGGACUGUGAUCAUUCCAUCGCCAUUCUUGUCGAAGAGGUCAAAGAUGCGGCGGAGACGGAGGGAAUUGAGGCUAGGGCUACGUAGGCGG
rnacentral:misc_RNA from 1 species